rnacentral:rRNA from 1 species
UUGGAGGGCAAGUCUGGUGCCAGCAGCCGCGGUAAUUCCAGCUCCAAUAGCGUAUAUUAAAGUUGUUGCAGUUAAAAAGUUCGUAGUUGAAUUUCGGGAUCAAUAUAACGGUCAUGCCGUUGGUAUGCACUGUUAUAAUUGAUUUCUCACCUUCUAAAGAACCGUAAUGCCAUUAAUUUGGUGUCACGGGGAAUUAGGACUGUUACCUUGAAAAAAUUAGAGUGUUUAAAGCAGGCUCACGCUUGAAUACAUUAGCAUGGAAUAAUGGAAUAGGACAUCCGAUUCUAUUUUGUUGGUUUCUAGGAUCGAUGUAAUGAUUAAUAGGGAUAGUUGGGGGCAUUAGUAUUCAAUUGUCAGAGGUGAAAUUCUUGGAUUUAUUGAAGACUAACUACUGCGAAAGCAUUUGCCAAGGAUGUUUUCAUUAAUCAAGAACGAAAGUUAGGGGAUCGAANACNAUCAGAUACCGUCGUAGUCUUAACCAUAAACUAUGCCGACUAGGGAUCGGAUGAUGUUAAUUUUUUAAUGACUCAUUCGGCGCCUUACGGGAAAC